GUGAAUCAUCGAAUUUUUGAACGCAAAUUGCGCCUUUCUCGGAGGGCAUGUCUGUUUGAGGGCACCAUUUAACAAAUACUGUGCAUGCUGUGUGUAUUUUUACGCACACGUGCACACGUUGAUGAGAUUUUACAAAAAAAGAAAAUUUUUUGGUGGGACGUAAUGAACAGCGAGCGCUUUCCUCCAAUUUUUCCGAGCGAAGUAAAAUUUCUUUUCGGCGUUUGGGUUGUUGGAAGGUG
rnacentral:misc_RNA from 1 species